rnacentral:rRNA from 1 species
GACGAACGCUGGCGGCGUGCUUAACACAUGCAAGUCGAACGGAAAGGCCCUGCUUUUGUGGGUUGCUCGAUUGGCGAACGGGUGAGUAACACGUGAGUAACCUGCCCUUGACUUUGGGAUAACUUCAGGAAACUGGGGCUAAUACCGGAUAGGAGCUCCUGCUGCAUGGGGGGGGUUGGAAAGUUUCGGCGGUUGGGGAUGGGCUCGCGGCUUAUCAGCUUGUUUGUGGGGUAGUGGCUUACCAAGGCUUUGACGGGUAGCCGGCCUGAGAGGGUGACCGGGCACAUUGGGACUGAGAUACGGACCAGACUCCUACGGGAGGCAGCAGUCGAGAACCUUGCAGAAUGGGCGGAAGCCUGUUACAGCAGCGUCGCGUGCGGGAUGACGGCCUUCGGGUUGUAAACCGCUUUCGCAUGAGACGAGGAGUGCGUGACGGUAAUGGGUAAAGAAGCCACGGCUAACUACGUG